rnacentral:lncRNA from 1 species
UGCAAGGGUACAACCAACUCCUCCACCAGAAUGUUUUGUUUUGCAAUCACUGCCGGAGCUUGAUACAUCUGCUGCAGGAGACUUCCUCUCAGGUGAAGAGGGUGGUAAAACAUUUUUGGAUCUAGAUAUUUCCCCUGCAGCCACAGUGGCAAGUAGGUUCAUCCCAUCAUCACCAGGGAAAGUAGAAGCACUUGCUUCUGAAAUUUUCACGCAGCUUUCAACCAAUGCAUUCAUGGGACUUAAGGAAGCAUCAUAAAUCUGCCCUGAUCUGGAAACAAAUCCCGAUGAGGAACUAGUGGGCUUCGAUGUUUCAGGUACUUUAUCACCAUCUUCACUAGCCACGCACCGCUCAUCACCAAUCGGGGAACGGCCCUCUGUAGAAUUCAUUACCAAAUGGUGUGCUACCUGUAGGAACCAUGAUCCGCUGUGCACUAGCACCAGCAAUAUAACUCUGAUCCCCUCUGCCAGGCAGAAGAGGCGGGACAGUAAUUGCUGAAUAAGAAUUGGCUGGAGGAAACCAUGAAGAAUAGCUACCAUAUUCAGGGUUAUUUGUUCUUGAGCCAUGAACAGCGGAAGGAAAUGGUAUGGGGCUUUUAAUCUGCUGACAACGAGCUGGGACUUCAGUGCUCACUUCAUCAAGGCCUGGUCCAUUAUUUAAAUCAAAGUCUCUUGAGACACUUCCACCAUUAGAUAUCCCACCUGACAAUGAAGGCUUACUAGAUAAAGAAGGAAUAUCCAGUUUGCCCACGGAGAAAGACCCAGCUUCAGGAGUCUCAUCAACUCUGUUUAAAUCAAGAUCAAAUCCCACUGCGCUGCGAUCGUGUGGCUGAGAUUCUAAAGAACCACGGGAAGCUACAUCAUCAAAACUGACUUCAUCUGCCACAUUUAAAUCAAAAUCUAAAAGAGGGCGGGGUUGUUUGAUAGGAGUGGCAUCAACAGAAGGAAUACCACUCGUAUUUGAUGGUGCCUCUGCAUUUUUCCUAGGUUCAGCUGGCCGGAAUGCACUUGUAGCUGCUGAUCCCUUCCAUCCGAGUUCCCCCUUAUUCCACAUUGGGCUUUCUGAUGGAACAACAGGCCCCUUGGCAGCAGAUGACGCUGUAAUUGAAGCAUACAAGCUCCCAGACAUGGAAGACAUGGGAAAAGGCAAUGCACAAGGGACAAGAACAGCAGAUGGAGUAGUAGGUUCUUCCUGUCUAACAAUCUCCCCUUGGCUUACAUCAUCCACAGGAAACCCCUCAUUCAAAUCAAAGUCCAGUUUUACUGCAGUAUCGGACCCAGAAUCUGUAAGGGACGGAUUAACAUUGGAUGUAUGCUGUUCAAGCACAGCCUCAGAUUCAUUUCCAUCUAAGUUACACUCUGAUGUUUCGGGGACUUCAUUCUCUUUCCCAGGAAAUGUUGGCAACUCGGGAUGACCUGAUAAGCCAGAACAGUGACCAAGAACCUCCUUUGUACCCAAAUUCUCUUCAACAUGUCCAUUGGUGCCAGCUGAAACAACUGAGUCCAGAUCCAUUGGUUUUUUGUCAGACUCAAUCUCGUCUGACUUCAAGUCAUCACUAUUGUCAUCCCUGGAUGCCAUUGAAGCAUUGCCAGCAGCAGUAGCUAGCUUGACAUCCUCCAUUUUCAAAUUUAUAGGCUCACCGUUUUCUGCAAGUGGAGAGGGCUUUUGCACUGCUAUGCCAGUAACUCUCACUUUCUCUGCAAUAAUCUGAUUCUCAUUACCAACAUCUGAUGAUAACUUAGAUGAUUUUUCAUCUACUUCCUUAUCGACAUUUACACAUGCAGGGACUUCCUUUGAAACCAAUAUUUUCUCAUUCUCUGUGAUUCUUUCAUCCACUUGAUCAUCUUUCUUAUCUACAUCAAAAGAGGAAUUUAGUGAUUUUAAUUUAGAGUCUGAACUACUGCUGCCUUUAGCCCAUUGACUUCCUAAUUCCUUCUGGACAUUUAAAAGGUUUGCUCCUCCAGGCUCCACAUCAGUCUCCUUCAUAGCUGGCAAUGCAGUUCCAGAAGCACCCUCUUUGAUUUCGGGCAGUAAGCAUGGACCUUCAGCGUUCUGCAACAAAUCUGUAGUGGAUAAAUUCAUUUGAGUUCUGCCAUCACCAGUGUUUUCAAGACAACUGGAUGACAUGGCUUCGCCAUCUCCAGAACCAUUGUGUGACACCAUCGUAACAGGAUGCCUCGAAUCAUUAUUAAAUUGCAAUGGGUCAACAGUCUCCAAAUAAUGCUCUCCAGUAGCCCCUCCAUCAGAUUGUGCAAGGGUACAACCAACUCCUCCACCAGAAUGUUUUGUUUUGCAAUCACUGCCGGAGCUUGAUACAUCUGCUGCAGGAGACUUCCUCUCAGGUGAAGAGGGUGGUAAAACAUUUUUGGAUCUAGAUAUUUCCCCUGCAGCCACAGUGGCAAGUAGGUUCAUCCCAUCAUCACCAGGGAAAGUAGAAGCACUUGCUUCUGAAAUUUUCACGCAGCUUUCAACCAAUGCAUUCAU